rnacentral:rRNA from 1 species
GUGGGGAAUAUUGGGCAAUGGGCGAAAGCCUGACCCAGCAACGCCGCGUGAAGGAAGAAGGUUUUCGGAUCGUAAACUUCUAUCCUUGGUGAAGAUAAUGACGGUAGCCAAGAAGGAAGCCCCGGCUAACUACGUGCCAGCAGCCGCGGUAAUACGUAGGGGGCAAGCGUUGUCCGGAAUGAUUGGGCGUAACGGGCGCGUAGGCGGCCUGGUAAGUCUGGAGUGAAAGUCCUGCUUUUAAGGUGGGAAUUGCUUUGGAUACUGUCGGGCUUGAGUGCAGGAGAGGUAAGUGGAAUUCCCGGUGUAGCGGUGAAAUGCGUAGAGAUCGGGAGGAACACCAGUGGCGAAGGCGACUUACUGGACUGUAACUGACGCUGAGGCGCGAAAGUGUGGGGAGCAAACAGGAUUAGAUACCCUAGUAGUCC